GAUUUGACAUCUCGAGAAUCCUCUUUAAUAGGAGGAGUGCCUUAGGGAACUCGAAGACAGGUGGUGCAUGGCUGUCGUCAGCUCGUGUCGUGAGAUGUUGGGUUAAGUCCCGCAACGAGCGCAACCCUCGUUCUUAGUUGCCAGCAUUAAGUUGGGCACUUUAGGAAGACUGCCGGUGACAAACCGGAGGAAGGUGGGGAUGACGUCAAGUCAGCAUGCCCCUUACAUUCUGGGCUACACACGUACUACAAUGGUUGGGACAAAGGGCAGCAAGCUCGCGAGAGUAAGCGAAUCUCAUCAAACCCAGCCUCAGUUCAGAUUGCAGGCUGCAACUCGCCUGCAUGAAGGAGGAAUCGCUAGUAAUCGCAGGUCAGCAUACUGCGGUGAAUUCGUUCCCGG
rnacentral:rRNA from 1 species